rnacentral:tRNA from 1 species
GCGGGUGUAGCUCAGUUGGUAGAGCGCCAGCUUGCCAUGCUGGCUGUCGCGAGUUCGAGUCUCGUCACCCGCUCCA